GAAAUUAGAAAUAAUUAAAAUUUUUUAUUGAUUUUAAAUAAUUAAAUCAAUAUAAUAAUAUAUUAAUAAUAUCUUUUAAAUAAAAAUAACAAAUAUAAAUUAUAGUAAAAAUAAAAUAAAAGUAAAUUUAAUUAAUUGUACCUUUUGUAUCAGGGUAAAUUAAAUUUUUUUUAUAAAAAUAAAUCUCGAAAAGUAAAGAAAUAAAUUAUUUAAAAUUUUAAUUUAUUACAAUAAAUUAAAAAAUAAUAAUUUAGAUUCAAAAUAAACUCAAUUUACUUAUUUCUAGUUACUAAAUAUUUUUUUUUAAAAAAAAAUUAUUAAUUAUAUACUAAUUAAUUUUUAAUUAAUAAUUUAAAAACUUAAAGUAUAAGCUAUAAGUUAUAAUAAAAUUUUAAAAUAUUAAUAAUUUAAAUAGCUUUAAAAUUUUGUAUAUAUAGAAUUUUUAAAAAAUCUUUUAACUUAUAAAAUAUUUAAUAAACAAAUUUAUUAAACAAUUUAAGUUAAAUUAUUUAACCUUAUAAUAAUUAAAAUUAUGAUUUAAUAAGUAUACUUAAUAAAAAUAUUAUAUAAAAACUAGGCCAAUUUAUUAAAUUUAACUGUUUAACAAAAACAUAACUUAAAGAAAAAAUUUUAAGCAAUUUCUGCUCAAUGAAAUAUUAAAUAGCUGCAAUAAAUUGAUUGUACUAAGGUAGCAUAAUAACUUGUUUCUUAAUUAGAAAAUAGAAUGAAAGAAAUAAUAUAAUUUAAUCUAUUUAAAAUAAUAAAAGUAAAAAUUAAUAAUAAAGUGAAAAAUCUUUAAUAAAAAUAAAAGACAAAAAGACCCUUUAGAAUUUAAUGAUUAUAACAUUUAAUUGGGGAGAUUGCAAAAUAAAAAAAACUUUUGUUUAAUAAAUACUUAUCAGUAAAAUUAAUCAACAAUUAAUUAAAACUAAACUAAAUUACCUAAGGGAUAACAGCACAAAUUUAUUUAAAAGACCAAAUUUUAAAUUUAUAAUUGUGACCUCGAUGUUGGAUUAAGAAUAUUUUAUAAAGCAAAAUUUAUAAUAAUAGGUCUGUUCGACCUUUAAUUUCUUACAUGAUCUGAGUUCAGACCGGCGUAAGCCAGGUCAGUUUAUAUCUUUAAAAAAUAUUUUAAUAGUACGAAAGGAAUUUAAAAUAUAAAUAUUUU
rnacentral:rRNA from 1 species